rnacentral:rRNA from 1 species
GAUGAACGCUGGCGGCGUGCUUAACACAUGCAAGUCGAACGGAAAGGCCCUGCUUUUGUGGGGUGCUCGAGUGGCGAACGGGUGAGUAACACGUGAGUAACCUGCCCUUGACUUUGGGAUAACUUCAGGAAACUGGGGCUAAUACCGGAUAGGAGCUCCUGCUGCAUGGUGGGGGUUGGAAAGUUUCGGCGGUUGGGGAUGGACUCGCGGCUUAUCAGCUUGUUGGUGGGGUAGUGGCUUACCAAGGCUUUGACGGGUAGCCGGCCUGAGAGGGUGACCGGCCACAUUGGGACUGAGAUACGGCCCAGACUCCUACGGGAGGCAGCAGUGGGGAAUAUUGCACAAUGGGCGGAAGCCUGAUGCAGCAACGCCGCGUGCGGGAUGACGGCCUUCGGGUUGUAAACCGCCUUCGCCUGUGACGAAGCGUGAGUGACGGUAAUGGGUAAAGAAGCACCGGCUAACUACGUG